CCAUAGACUUCCAAAGACUUAUACGGUGUGGUCGAUCCUUUGCUCUUUCAAGCUACAAUUUAACGAAUGAUGGGUCUUCUUCUAUCAAACUGAACCAGCUUUUACAAACGCUCUUGAAUCACAUAAGAAACUCUAUGGGGAGCCUUGACAAUAUUGUUGAGAUAAUCUCUGAAGGUAGAUGAUGAUGAUGAUGCUUAAC